GAUGAAGAACGUAGCGAAAUGCGAUAAGUAAUGUGAAUUGCAGAAUUCAGUGAAUCAUCGAAUCUUUGAACGCACAUUGCGCCCGCCAGUAUUCUGGCGGGCAUGCCUGUUCGAGCGUCAUUUCAACCAUCAAGCCCCCGGCUUGUGUUGGGGACCUGCGGCUGCCGCAGGCCCUGAAAAGCAGUGGCGGGCUCGCUGUCACACCGAGCGUAGUAGCAUACAUCUCGCUCUGGGCGUGCUGCGGGUUCCGGCCGUUAAACCACCUUCAUUACCCAAGGUUGACCUCGGAUCAGGUAGGAAGACCCGCUGAACUUAAGCAUAUCAAUAAGCGGAGGA
rnacentral:misc_RNA from 1 species